rnacentral:pre_miRNA from 1 species
AAUAGAUGACGCCGUUGACUUUUUCUUAUAUGUUUGACCAUUCGUCUUAUUCAAAAAAAUUUACGUAAUUAUAAUUUAUUUUAUUAUGAGUUGUUUUAUCACUCAUAGUACUUUAAGUAUGAUUUAUAUCUUAUACAUUUGCAUAAAUUUUUUUAAUAAGACGAAUGGUCAAACAUGUGAGAAAAAGUCAAUGGCGUAAUAUAUU